ACUCAAAGGAAUUGACGGGGGCCCGCACAAGCGGAGGAACAUGUGGUUUAAUUCGAUGAUACGCGAGGAACCUUACCCGGGCUUGAAAUAUACUUGAAUGGAGGUGAAAGCUUUCAGCCAGCAAUGGCAAGUAUGUAGGUGCUGCAUGGUUGUCGUCAGCUCGUGCCGUGAGGUGUCGGCUUAAGUGCCAUAACGAGCGCAACCCCUAUUGUUAGUUACUAACAGGUUAAGCUGAGGACUCUAACGAGACUGCCACCGUAAGGUGUGAGGAAGGUGGGGAUGACGUCAAAUCAGCACGGCCCUUACGUCCGGGGCGACACACGUGUUACAAUGGUAGGUACAGAGGGCAGCUACCCGGCGACGGGAUGCCAAUCUUAUAAAACCUAUCUCAGUUCGGAUCGGAGUCUGCAACUCGACUCCGUGAAGCUGGAUUCGCUAGUAAUCGCGCAUCAGCCAUGGCGCGGUGAAUACGUUCCCGGGCCUUGUACACACCGCCCGU
rnacentral:rRNA from 1 species